GGACAGUCGACGCAUGCGCGACCUUCCGGGCCCUCUCCAGCGCGUACCCAGUGCAGUGGGGUUCAAAGGGGACAUCUGUAAUACUUUCAACAAUAAAGGCAGAAUUUUCACACGAAUCAUGUGACUUCUAGACCCAAAGCAGGUUCCAUAUCAAGUGAGAAGGAUGAUGGGGAGAGUCCUAGAAACUGUCUACCUGAGAGAAGCAAGAAGUGUCUAUCGACAGCCCAGUAACAGUGGGAGAGAAAAACCUACCAAUGCGAGCAUUCAGAAAGCAUGGCCGCCUGGACGCAGUUUAUCAGAUGCUGGGGCCUCACCAUGCAGGUACAAAAUGUCGUCAGUGCUCGUGAGUGCUUGGAGACACCGAGGAACAGGCCAGUGUCAUCUGUUUUCUCUGUUUAAGAAAGUAGCCAAAUGUAUGUGUGUUUGAGCAAACUUUGUAUCGCAAAGAUUAAAAUGUUACACAUUUUGCCCUACCCCGUUUGGCCCAGUGGAUAGAGCAUCGGCCUGCAGACUGAAGGGUCCCAGGUUUGAUUCUGGUCAAGGGCACAUGCCCAGGUUGUGGGCUUGAUCCCCAGUGGGGUCGUGCAGGAGGCAGCCAAUCAAUGACUCUCUCUCAUCAUUGAUGUUUCUAUCUCUCUAUCCCUCUUCCUUCCU